AUUUUAGUGAAUGAUUGGAUAAUAAUGGAUCCAAUUGACUCGCUUCUAGGCAAUUUUGGAAGAUAUCAGCUCUGGAUCUGCUUUAUUAUAUUCCUUAGCAAAUUUGGAGUUGGAUUGCAUCAAAUGGCCAUAAUAUUCCUUGCACCUCCUGUUCGUUACACGUGUACGCCUUCAUGCUCCAUUAGCUGUGAUAACCCUGUGUAUGAUAAAUCUGAAUUUGAUCGCACUAUCAUUACUGAAUGGAAUCUUAUAUGUAAGAAAGCGUGGCUUAAGGAUUUGACCCAAACUUUUUUUCAAUUUGGAGUUCUAGUGGGAAGUUUUGUUUUUGGAGUUGCUUCAGAUAGAUACGGACGAAGGAAGACCUUGCUUAUAUCUGUUAUUUUAGAAAUAUUUACUGGAAUAGUGGUGGCAUUUUUACCAGAUUAUUGGAGUUUUACUUUAAUAAGAAUGAUUUUAGGAAUAUCAGUUGGUGGUAUUAUGGUAGUAGCCUUUGUCCUUGUAAUGGAAUUCGUUGGUACUAAAAACAGAGAUGUUAUUUGUUCCCUUUUCCACCUUCCAUUUACUCUUGGACACAUGGCAUUGGCACUAUUUGGUUAUUACUUACGGGAUUACGUACAUUUUCAAAUGGGACUAUCGCUUACAAGUUUAAUACUUUUGAUAUAUAUUUGUAUCCUACCUGAAUCACCCCAGUGGCUUAUUGCUACGAAUCAACCUUUCAAGGCUAUCGAAUUAAUGGAAAAAGUUGCCAAAAUCAACGGUCGACCAAUCGACGUAGUUCGUAGAAGAAUUGAAGCUUAUCAGUUGGACUCAAUAAAAUUUACACAUAAAAAAGGAAAUGUAGUAGAUCUGUUUCGUACUCCUAAUUUGAGGAAAAAUAUAAUAGUUAUGUCAUUCAUGUGGUUUGUGUCUAGCUAUUGUUACUAUGGAAUAGCUCAUUACAUAAGCCAUUUGACUGGAAAUAUCUUUAUAAAUGUAGUUGCCAGCUCCAGUGUUUGUGUUAUGGGAUGUCUUUUAGUUAUUCCAUUGGUAAAAAAUUUUGGUCGUAAGAUAUUGGUAAUUACAUUUCAUACAUUUUGCGGUAUCUGUCUCAUAAUUGUUGCGUUCAUACCAGAAGGUAUUGCAUCUGUUAUAAUGGGCUGUAUUGGUGUUUUACUGUGUUUUAUGGCAUUUAUUGUUAGUUAUAUUUAUUGUUCGGAAAUGUUUCCGACAAUUGUACGAAAUGCUGCUAUAGGUAUUGCCUCCGUGUUUGCACGAGUUGGUGCUAUGUUGGCACCUUUUGUGGCAGGUUUGCGGCCACAUGGGAAAUGGUGUGCUCCUAUAUUAUUUGGCGUUUUUCCAAUUAUAUCAGCUUCUCUUUGUCUACUUCUGCCGGAAACAAAAGGUGUCGGAUUUCUAACUACGCUUGAAGACGGAGAAAACUUGGGUUCAACAAACGUCACACAACGUUCACAAGAAGCGAAUCAACAAUAAAGUAAUUGAGGCUUUUAUAUCCUUUAUUGCCCUGUAAUGUAUUUUGUGUUCAUUAAUCACAAAUUGUAUCGGAAAGUAGCAGAUUUUCUUUUUGCUCUAUGGGAGUUAUAUCCAGUGGCAUUAUUUCAAUGGUGCU